CUGGUUCUAAAGCUAUGCAUAGCCAAAUUCUUAGCAUAUUCAAUGAAGAAGCAGGAAAGUUUAAACAGUUUUCUGCAGCUCAGAAUAUGAAAAUUACUUUACAAAGAAGAUAUAAAAAUGCAGUUGUGGACAGCUCUCGUCAGAAGCAGUUAGAAAUCUUUCUUGGAAUAAGACUGUUCAAGCAUCUUCCAUCAAUUCCAGUUAAACCUCUAAAUGUACCAUCUCGACCAUGUGGUUUCUUUCUUAAGCCAGUUGCCAACAUGUUUCCAAGUGGGUCCAGUCCUUUGAGCUUCAAAAAAAAAGAUCUCAUAUGGGUUUGCCCACAAGCUCCAGAUGUGGUUGAACUUUUUAUCUAUCUUGGUGAGCCUUGCCAUGUCUGUCAACUUCUUCUAACAGUAUCUCAUGGGGUAGAUGAUUCAACUUAUCCGUCAACAGUUGAUGUGAGGACGGGACGCUACCUAGAUGGGCUUAAACUUGUUGUAGAGGGUGCUUCAAUACCUCAGUGUGUAAAUGGGACAAACCUUUUAAUACCCUUGCCAGGACCAAUUAGUGCAGAGGAUAUGGCUAUCACAGGAGCUGGUGCACGUCUUCAUGCUCAAGAUACAACCACCCUUCCAUUAUUGUAUGAGUUUGAAGAACUAGAGGGAGAAUUAGAUUUCCUUACCCGUGUUGUGGCAAUUACAUUUUAUCCUGCUGUUUCUGGAAGAAGUCCUAUGACUUUUGGUGAGAUAGAGAUCAUUGGAGUUUCUCUUCCAUGGAGCGGUGUAUUUAAUAAUGAAGGCUCUGGUGCAAGAAUAGCUGAAGUUGUUAAAAAGGGUCUUAAAGAAACUAAAACUAAUCCAUUCUUGUCUAGUGCAGACAACAAUCCAUUUUCUAACACUUCUUCAACUAAUGAAACUGUGUUGCCAUCAAUGCAAAAAACUACUUCUGCAAACUGGCUUGAUCUUUUGACUGGAGACGAUGGGGUUUCAGAACCUGUUUCUCAUCCACUAGCACAAAAUAAUGUCCAAGAGGGAAGUGACAUGCUUGAUUUCUUGGAAGAAGCUGCCACUGNGAAUAUCAUGGUGCUGUAACUGAUUGUAAGUUUUCUUCAUCACAUGAUGCAAGUAGCGCGCAGAAGUACAUUAAUUGUCUCAAGAACCUUGCAGGGCCACAAAUGACAAGAAAGUUUGACUUUGUUGAAGCAAUGAAACUUGAAAUUGAAAGGCUCCGUCUGAAUCUUUCUGCUGCUGAAAGGGAUAGAGCUUUGUUGUCCAUUGGUAUUGACCCUGCUACAAUAAAUCCAAAUGCUUUGAUUGAUGAAUCAUACAUGGGCAGAUUGUGCAGGGUUGCAAACACCCUUGCUUUACUUGGACAAGCUUCGCUUGAGGACAAACUUAAUGCUGCUAUUGGUCUGGGUAAUAUUGAUGAUAACGUAAUAGAUUUUUGGAAUGUUUCUGGAAUUGGGGAUAGCUGUUCUGGUCCCAUAUGUGAGGUGCAUGCUGAAACAAUGGCACCAACACAUGCAUCCUCUGUCACGUCCUCUGUGGGAGCUUCACAAUCCAUCUUGAUAUGCUCUGAAUGCGAAAGAAAAGUUUGUAAAGUUUGUUGUGCUGGGAGAGGAGCUCUUUGGCUUAUGAGUAGUAACUCGAAGGAUGCUACAAAUUAUAAUGGUCUAGCGAGUCAGGGUGGGUCAAGCCAUGGCAGCCAAAUUGACAGUUCUACAAGUCGUUCAGUGCCACUGGAUAGUGUUAUUUGUAAACAAUGCUGCCGCGACAUUGUCCUUGAUGCAUUGAUCUUGGAUUAUUUGAGAGUCUUGAUUAGUCUACGAAGAAGGGAUCGUGCUGACAGUGCUGCUCACAAAGCUUUGGACGAGGUUAUAGGAUCUCCCUUAAGGGGUGGUGUUCAUGAAAAAAGCCCGUCUUCUGAUAGUCAGCGAGCUGCCAAGGCCCUACAAAAACUGCUUUCUGGGGGAGAAUCACUUGCAGAAUUUCCAUUGGCUAGCUUCUUGCACUCGGUUGAAACGGCAACAGAUUCAGCACCAUUCUUCUCAUUACUCUCUCCACUGAAAUUUGGGUCACGACAGUCAUAUUGGAAAGCUCCUUCAACUACCAAUUCUGUCGAAUUUGUUAUUGUUCUUAGUUCCCUUUCUGAUGUCAGUGGAGUUAUCUUUCUUGUUAGUCCUUGUGGCUAUUCAGUGGCUGAUGCUCCUAAUGUUCAAAUCUGGGCCAGCAAUAAAAUACAGAAGGAAGAAAGGUCAUGCAUGGGAAAAUGGGAUGUUCAAUCAUUGGUUCCAUCUUCGUCGGAAAUUUAUGGGCCAGAAAAGUCAGGUGGAGAUGAUGAAGUACCUAGGCAUGUGAAAUUUUCCUUUAGGAAUCCUGUUAGAUGCCGAAUCAUUUGGAUAACAGUACGUCUUCCACGACCUGGAUCAAGUUCUGUUAAUUUUGAGAGAGACUUUAAUCUUUUAUCCUUGGAUGAGAACCCUUUUGCGCAAGUGAAUAGACGUUCUUCUUUUCGUGGCUCAGUUGAAAAUGACCCAUGUCUUCAUGCUAGAAGAAUUUUGGUAGUUGGAAGUCCAGUGAAAAAAGAGAUGGGGCUUAUAUCACAGGAAUCUGACCAGAUGAAUUUUAAUAGUUGGCUGGAGAGGGCUCCACCGUUGAAUAGAUUCAAGAUUCCAACUGAGGCUGAGAGGCUAAUGGACAAUGAUCUUUUCUUGGAGCAAUAUUUGCCACCUUCUUCUCCUUUGCUUGCUGGAUUUCGUAUUGAUGCCUUCACUGCAAUAAAGCCUCGUGUUGCCCAUUCUCCAUCUUCAGAUGUAGAUACAUGGGAUACGUCUGUAACAUUUUUAGAAGAUAGACACAUUUCUCCUCCUGUGUUGUAUAUUCAAGUUUCUGCACUUCAGGAACCACACAGCAUGGUAAUUAUUGGUGAGUAUCGACUGCCAGAGGCUAGGGCCGGAACCUCAAUGUACUUUGACUUUCCCA
rnacentral:misc_RNA from 1 species